UUAGUGUAUUUGAACACUCAUUUUCCUGAUUUUUGUGAUGUUUUCCAAAAUAGUGAUUUGUUGAGACGAGAAAGGUUAGACAUAUAUGGUAAACUUGCAUGGCACUGUAAAUUGUAAAAGUUAGUGUAACAUAUCUUGCAGGUUGUGUCACUUUCAUUUUUGGGGUUUAGACUUUAGACAGAAGUAGUAGUAAUGAAAAAGAUAUUCUACUUGAUAAUGAAGUUAUUUGUUGGGCUGAAUAAUAUGGCCCAUGUAGAUUAAUUGGGCUAAGAAAAACCUAAAAUUAAAUUGUCGCCGCCGGAAGAAACCUAAUUUCUCAGAUGAGUUUCUUUGAGUUUGUGUAUGUAUUUAUAUGGUUUCGUUUCCUGCUAAGUUCGUAGGAUCUUGCUCUUUUUUCAUGUCUGUAUGUUAUAAUUGGUUAUUUUAGGGAUAGGUAUGUGACUAUUUUCGUGUCUGUAUAUGAUAAAAUUGGUGAUUUUUAGGGUUUUUGUGUAAGAGAUUUGUGAUGUGUGGAAGGGGUUACUAUGGUGAUGAUACAAGUGUAUGUGGACUAGAGUUUCAGAUCUGGGAUUCUUCUCCCAGAAGUUGAAGAUUAACCCUUGGCUGUCUGAGUAUUAAUCACCCUUUUGGCCUUUCACACAAAAAUCUCCUCUUUUGUUUGAUUUGAAGAUAAAUUUCUCUGUUUUGAUUGACUUGUAAGCUGAUGAUGAUAAAAGACAAUUAUCUUAGCGGAUUUCAGUGAGGUUCUUGAAUCAAUGAUCUGAAUUUGUUACACACACUGAAGCUUCUUUGUUCUUUUACCAAUGUUUUGGUUUUUGUUUUGUUUGAUUAUUGUUGUGUUUGAUGAUGAUGCAAUGAUGAGAGAAAAGCACGAAGAGUGUGAGAAGAGCAGUGGUUAUACCGUUUUUGUAUUGGCGUCCAUUACCAAUUCUGAAGGAUAAACACAAUUCCUUCAGGUAUAAUGGCUUGUGACGCUAUAUUUGUUGUGGUAUAUCCUGAUCAUCUUGCUUUUUUCAAUGCCUUUUGAUCCUGGAAAUGCCUCGCACAUUAUAAAAUCUCUCCCAAGGUGUUACAUUUGUUCUUUCGUAAACAUGUGUAACUUGAUGAUAUAGUUUUUGGGGUAGAAGUGUUAUCUCGGCGGGCAAGGGGCAGUUGGUGGCAUCAGCUUCUCUAGUAUACCAGUUAACAGUUUUCCUGCUUUUGAAUUCUUGCACUAGCUUCCAUUGAUAGAUAAUGGUUACAUUUUGGUGCUGCAACUCUUGUGGUAGCUAGUACAAGAGUUCAAAAGUAGUGAAGAUGUUAUUUGGAUACCAUAUAGUGGACCAAAGAGGCUGCGAUUAAUUGGUCGAAGGUGUUCCAGUUUGUUUGAGUCUCACUCAUUUUUGGUUUUGUUCUUCUUGUUCCCCUGUUUCUCAUGAAUAUUAUGCAGUCGACAAAAAUAAAAAUAAACUUAAAAUCA